UACGAAGGGGGGCUAGCGUUGUUCGGAAUCACUGGGCGUAAAGCGCACGUAGGCGGAUCUUUAAGUCAGGGGUGAAAUCCCCGGGGCUCAACCCCGGAACUGCCUUUGAUACUGGGUAUCUCGAGUCCGGAAGAGGUGAGUGGAAUUCCGAGUGUAGAGGUGAAAUUCGUAGAUAUUCGGAGGCAACACCGAGUGGCGAAGGCGGCUCACUGGUCCGGUACUGACGCUGGAGGU
rnacentral:rRNA from 1 species